UACAGAGGUCUCAAGCGUUGUUCGGAUUCAUUGGGCGUAAAGGGUGCGUAGGCGGCGUGGUAAGUCGGGUGUGAAAUCUCGGAGCUUAACUCCGAAACUGCAUUCGAUACUGCCGUGCUUGAGGACUGGAGAGGUGAGUGGAACUGCGAGUGUAGAGGUGAAAUUCGUAGAUAUUCGCAAGAACACCAGUGGCGAAGGCGGCUCACUGGCCCGGUACUGACGCUGAGGCACGAAAGCGUGGGGAGCGAACAGG
rnacentral:rRNA from 1 species